UUGAGAUUGCUCCGCUCUUCACCCCCCGCCCCCAGCUGAGAAAUGUAUGCUGUGGAAGAACCUGGGGGAAGAAGAUUCUGCAAAGAGUACUGAGGUUCUGGAAACAGGAACAGUGGCCCCAGCACCUUGUCUCUAUCACUCCAAGAGAACUUCGUCUUAAUACAGCGGAAAAGACAUGCAGAGCAAGGCGCACUCCACUCUUAAAAGCCUAAUGUCAGCGGACAGUUGUGAGCAGCUGUGAAUCUGAGGCUUGUGGAGAUAACUGGGGCUUUGGAUAACAUUGGCCUCUUCAGAGGAGGUGAUGGGUGGUGUCUUGAGACUUGUCUCAAGUCAUGGAGAAGAAGUGUCACAUUAGAAAACAUCCAGCCUGUGCCAGCUUCCUGCUCUGCUGCUUCAAGCUGGCUUAACUCGAGGGGCUCCACUGACUUAAGUCGGCCAGGCUUCAAGUGACAAAGUACAAGCAGGUUUGGGCUUGUGCCUGGAUGCAGCUGCAGCAGCAGCUCCUGCUUCCACUGCCGCCCAGUGGCUACUCUAGGAAAAGACCUCCCCCAAUAUUCCCAGUGAAGUCCCAGCUUCUGCCACUCCUGGAGGAAACCAAGCCCCACAGAUCACGGUCCUUGCCUCUGAACUGCUUCUUCACUUUGCUCUCUGUGGCUUGCACCACAUGUCGUCUGCUAUUCCGCUCCACACUCCUGACUCCUUUCCCUGACUCCUCUUUGUCGUCCCUCCACCAAAUGUGGCCCUUUCCCAAAUCAGGCUCCCCUCCCUGCCACCACCCUCCCUCCUCUCCUCUUGCCCUUCUCCACCACCUCUCUCUC